rnacentral:rRNA from 1 species
GAUGAACGCUGGCGGCGUGCUUAAUACAUGCAAGUCGAGCGAACAGAUGAUGAGGUUGCUCUUCUGACGUUAGCGGUGGACGGGUGAGUAACACGUUGAUCACCUACCUAUAAGACCUGGAUAACUUCGGGAAACCUGAGGUAAGAUCGCAUCAUAUCUCGUACCGCAUGGUGCAAUGGUUUACGGCGGUUUGGCUGUCACGUAUAGAUGGAUCCGCGCCGCAUUAGCUAGUCGGUAAGGUACCGCCUUACUAAGGCGACGAGGCGUAGCCGACCUGAGAGGGUGGUCGGCCACACUGGAGCUGAGACGCGGUCCAGACGCCUACGGGAGGCAGCAGUAGGGAAUGUGCGGCAGUGGGCGAGAGCCUGACGGAGCAACGCCGCGUGAGAGAUAGAGGUGUUCGGAGCGGAAUACUCGGUUAUUAGGGAAGAACAAAUGUGUACGUAAAUAUACACGUCUUGACGGUACCUGAUGAGAAAGCCCCGGCUAACUACGUG